UCGGGAAUUUUGGGCAAUGGGCGAAAGCCUGACCCAGCAACACCGCGUGAGGGAUGGAGUAUUUCGGUAUGUAAACCUCGAAAGAAUGGGAAGAAUAAAUGACGGUACCAUUUAUAAGCUCCGGCUAACUACGUGCCAGCAGCCGCGGUAAUACGUAGGGAGCAAGCGUUGUUCGGAUUUACUGGGCGUAAAGGGCGCGUAGGCGGCGCGGUAAGUCACUUGUGAAAUCUCUGAGCUUAACUCAGAACGGCCAAGUGAUACUGCUGUGCUAGAGUGCGGAAGAGGCAACCGGAAUUCUUGGUGUAGCGGUGAAAUGCGUAGAUAUCAAGAGGAACACCUGAGGCGAAGGCGGGUUGCUGGGCCGACACUGACGCUGAUGCGCGAAAGCCAGGGGAGCAAACG
rnacentral:rRNA from 1 species